AUUGAACGCUAGCGGCAUGCCUAACACAUGCAAGUCGAACGGAGCGGCGGACGGGUGAGUAAUGCAUCGGAAUGUGCCUAGUAGCGGGGGAUAACGUCGCGAAACGGGCGCUAAUACCGCAUACUAUUAGAGUGGCCUAUGUCGGAUUAGCUAGUUGGUGGGGUAAAGGCCCACCAAGGCGACGAUCCGUAGCUGGUCUGAGAGGACGAUCAGCCACACUGGAACUGAGACACGGUCCAGACUCCUACGGGAGGCAGCAGUGGGGAAUAUUGGACAAUGGGGGAAAGCCUGAUCCAGCCAUGCCGCGUGUGUGAAGAAGGCCUUCGGAUUGUAAAGCACUUUUAGCUGGGAGGCGUUACCAACAGAAUAAGCACCGGCUAACUUCGUGCCAGCAGCCGCGGUAAUAC
rnacentral:rRNA from 1 species